AUGGAGAUGGUAAAAAACAAGGUGGCUUCAAAAGAGAAGAGCACUAGUAGUAGUAGUAGUAAUGGACGCAUGAUUAGGUACUCGGUUUUGAUUUUAACUCUUUUGGCUUUGUUCAUUUUGAUUCUACCUUUGGUGAUGCCUCCUUUGCCACCACCACCUUUGAUGCUUCUCUUUGUUCCUGUUUUCAUUUUGUUGCUUCUCUUUUUCAUUGCCUUUUCAUCUUCUUCUAAUAAAGUUCCAAAUAUGAGUUCUUUUGUUUCUUGA